rnacentral:rRNA from 1 species
UACGUAGGGACCAAGCGUUGUUCGGAUUUACUGGGCGUAAAGGGCGCGUAGGCGGCUUGGCAAGUCGGAUGUGAAAUCCCUCGGCUCAACCAAGGAAGUGCAUCCGAAACUGCUGAGCUUGAGUACUUAAGAGGAUCGCGGGAAUUCCCGGUGUAGAGGUGAAAUUCGUAGAUAUCGGGAGGAACACCGGUGGCGAAGGCGGGUCUCUGGGCAACUACUGACGCUGAGGAGCGAAAGCGUGGGGAGCGAACAGG